rnacentral:rRNA from 1 species
GACGAACGCUGGCGGCGUGCCUAAUACAUGCAAGUCGAACGAGAGCGACCGGUGCUUGCACUGGUCAAUUUAGUGGCGAACGGGUGAGUAACACGUGGGUAACCUGCCUAUAAGAGGGGGAUAACAUCCGGAAACGGAUGCUAAAACCGCAUAGGUCUUCGAGCCGCAUGGCUUGAUGAGGAAAGGCGGUGUAAGCUUCUGCUGAUGGAUGGACCCGCGCUGCAUUAGCUAGUUGGUAAGGUAACGGCUCACCAAGGCCGUGAUGCAUAGCCGACCUGAGAGGGUGAUCGGCCACACUGGGACUGAGACACGGCCCAAACUCCUACGGGAGGCAGCAGUAGGGAAUCUUCCGCAAUGGACGCAAGUCUGACGGAGCAACGCCGCGUGAGUGAAGAAGGUUUUCGGAUCGUAAAACUCUGUUGUUAGGGAAGAACAAGUGCUAGAGUAACUGUUAGCGCCUUGACGGUAUCUAACCAGAAAGCCACGGCUAACUACGUG